AAUAGAUACCCGGGUAGUCCUAGCCGUAAACGAUGAACACUAGGCGUAGUCGGUAUCGACCCCGGCUGUGCCGUAGCUAACGCAUUAAGUGUUCCGCCUGGGGAGUACGGCCGCAAGGCUAAAACUCAAAGGAAUUGACGGGGGCCAGCACAAGCAGCGGAGCGUGUGGUUUAAUUCGUCGCAACGCGAAGAACCUUACCAGGGCUUGACAUGUGGCGGAAAACGGCGGAAACGUCGUCCUCCCGCAAGGGACCGUCAUGCAGGUGUUGCAUGGCUGUCGUCAGCUCGUGUCGUGAGAUGUUGGGUUAAGUCCCGCAACGAGCGCAACCCCCGUGGCAUGUUGUAUCUCUCAUGCCAGACUGCCGAGAGAAACUCGGAGGAAGGUGGGGAUGACGCCAAGUCAGCAUGGCCCUUACGUCCUGGGCUACACACACGCUACAAUGGCCGGUACAACGGGUUGCCAAACCGCGAGGUGGAGCUAAUCCCUUAAAGCCGGUCUCAGUUCGGAUUGCAGGCUGCAACUCGCCUGCAUAAAGCC
rnacentral:rRNA from 1 species